UACGUAGGGUCCAAGCGUUAUCCGGAAUCACUGGGCGUAAAGCGUGCGUAGGCGGAUGUUUAAGUGUGAUGUUAAAUCGUGGGGCUCAACCCUGUCGUUGCAUCGCAUACUGGGCAUCUAGAGGACGGCAGAGGCAAGUGGAACUCGUAGUGUAGCAGUGAAAUGCGUAGAUAUUACGAAGAACACCAAUGGCGAAGGCAGCUGCUGGGCCGACCCUGACGCUGAGGUACGAAAGCGUGGGGAGCGAACAGG
rnacentral:rRNA from 1 species